GUCGAACGAUGAUGCCCAGCUUGCUGGGCGGAUUAGUGGCGAACGGGUGAGUAAUACGUGAGUAACCUGCCCUUGACUCUGGGAUAAGCCUGGGAAACUGGGUCUAAUACUGGAUACUACCUCUUACCGCAUGGUGGGUGGUGGAAAGGGUUUUACUGGUUUUGGAUGGGCUCACGGCCUAUCAGCUUGUUGGUGGGGUAAUGGCUCACCAAGGCGACGACGGGUAGCCGGCCUGAGAGGGUGACCGGCCACACUGGGACUGAGACACGGCCCAGACUCCUACGGGAGGCAGCAGUGGGGAAUAUUGCACAAUGGGCGGAAGCCUGAUGCAGCGACGCCGCGUGAGGGAUGACGGCCUUCGGGUUGUAAACCUCUUUCAGUAGGGAAGAAGCGAGAGUGACGGUACCUGCAGAAGAAGCGCCGGCUAACUACGUGCCAGCAGCCGCGGUAAUACGUAGGGCGCAAGCGUUGUCCGGAAUUAUUGGGCGUAAAGAGCUCGUAGGCGGUUUGUCGCGUCUGCUGUGAAAGCCCGGGGCUCAACCCCGGGUCUGCAGUGGGUACGGGCAGACUAGAGUGCAGUAGGGGAGACUGGAAUUCCUGGUGUAGCGGUGAAAUGCGCAGAUAUCAGGAGGAACACCGAUGGCGAAGGCAGGUCUCUGGGCUGUUACUGACGCUGAGGAGCGAAAGCAUGGGGAGCGAACAGGAUUAGAUACCCUGGUAGUCCAUGCCGUAAACGUUGGGCACUAGGUGUGGGGGACAUUCCACGUUUUCCGCGCCGUAGCUAACGCAUUAAGUGCCCCGCCUGGGGAGUACGGCCGCAAGGCUAAAACUCAAAGGAAUUGACGGGGGCCCGCACAAGCGGCGGAGCAUGCGGAUUAAUUCGAUGCAACGCGAAGAACCUUACCAAGGCUUGACAUUCACCGGACCGCCCCAGAGAUGGGGUUUCCCUUCGGGGCUGGUGGACAGGUGGUGCAUGGUUGUCGUCAGCUCGUGUCGUGAGAUGUUGGGUUAAGUCCCGCAACGAGCGCAACCCUCGUUCUAUGUUGCCAGCACGUGAUGGUGGGGACUCAUAGGAGACUGCCGGGGUCAACUCGGAGGAAGGUGGGGAUGACGUCAAAUCAUCAUGCCCCUUAUGUCUUGGGCUUCACGCAUGCUACAAUGGCCGGUACAAAGGGUUGCGAUACUGUGAGGUGGAGCUAAUCCCAAAAAGCCGGUCUCAGUUCGGAUUGAGGUCUGCAACUCGACCUCAUGAAGUCGGAGUCGCUAGUAAUCGCAGAUCAGCAACGCUGCGGUGAAUACGUUCCCGGGCCUUGUACACACCGCCCGUCAAGUCACGAAAGUUGGUAACACCCGAAGCCGGUGGCCUAACCCCUUGUGGGAGGGAGCCGUCGAAGGUGGGACUGGCGA
rnacentral:rRNA from 1 species